rnacentral:lncRNA from 1 species
UACGCGCCUCCCCCCUGCGGCGGCCCCGAGGACGUGGCCCUGGCGCCCUGCACCGCCGCCGCCGCCUGCGAAGCGGGCCCCUCCCCGGUCUACGUCAAGGUCAAGAGCGCGGAGCCGGCUGACUGCGCCGAGGGGCCGGUGCAGUGCAAGAACGGCCUCUUGCUCCAGCCCACACUGUGAAGAGCCUUGUGCCCACAGCUGUGCACAUCCUGGGCUUCCUCCACACCUUGUCCAUAAACUGCCCCUCAGCUACCUUCAGACCCAGGAUACAGACGCAGCCUCCAGAAGAAUAAAUGCUCCAUUAGCAGCUGGCUGGAGCUGGCUGAGGCUCUGGCUGGUGACUCUGGCCUCUGGUGUAGACUUCCCUCAGGUGAGUGCAUGGAUGAGAGCUCUACCUUCUCCUGACUGCCCAGGCCUCAGGACAACAGGAGAACAGAUGCAAAAACUAUUGCUCAAGGAAAAUAAAGUGAAAACGAGGAAAAGCAAAAGAAGAUCUGGAGAGGGCUCUCACCUGACCACAAGC